UACAGAGGUCCCAAGCGUUGUUCGGAUUCACUGGGCGUAAAGGGUGCGUAGGCGGUCGGGUAAGUCUGACGUGAAAUCUCCAAGCUCAACUUGGAAAUGGCGUCGGAUACUAUUCGGCUCGAGGAGUGGAGGGGAGACUGGAAUUCUCGGUGUAGCAGUGAAAUGCGUAGAUAUCGAGAGGAACACCAGUGGCGAAGGCGAGUCUCUGGACACUUCCCGAUCGCUGAGGCACGAAAGGUCCAGGGGGAGCAAACGGG
rnacentral:rRNA from 1 species